CAAGGAAAUUUAUAGUAAAAGGAAAAUCCGUCGACUUUAGAAAUCAUGAGGGUUCAAGU
rnacentral:tRNA from 1 species